GACGAAGGAUGCAAGCGUUAUCCGGAUUCAUUGGGUUUAAAGGGAGCGUAGGCGGCCCGAUAAGUCAGUGGUGAAAUCUCCUCGCUUAACGAGGAAAUUGCCAUUGAUACUGUUGGGCUUGAGUACAGUUGCCGUUGGCGGAAUAUGACAUGUAGUGGUGAAAUACAUAGAGAUGUCAUAGAACACCGAUUGCGAAGGCAGCUAACGAAACUGUAACUGACGCUGAGGCUCGAAAGUGCGGGGAUCAAACAGG
rnacentral:rRNA from 1 species